CAAAGAGGAUAUUUUGGUACUGAACGCCAGAUGCUCAGGCACCAGGAUGGCUCUGGCAGCACCCACGUCCUCCUGGGUGCUGCGCUGGCUCCCUGGGAGAUGGGGAAUCAGGGUUCCCGGCAUCUCCAGUGCAGACGUAAUUAAAGCCUUGCCUGCCUGCCACAGAGCAUAUGGGACAAGUUAGCAGAGUAAUUAAAUUUUGCAAAGUAUAAUCAUGUAGAUUGGGAGUGGUGACCACGCAUUUUUGCAUGGAGGUUUUUUGGAUGAGGAAAUCUGGAGUUUUCGCACCUUGCUUGUGCAAAGCUGAAGUUCAUCGUUUCCCAGGGAGUCAUCCUGGAGUACUGCCUCACCUGCAGAACCUGAGUAUGGCAUUGCUGGCUCAGGAAGAUUCCCCUGAAUCCAGGGAGACGUGGUGCCUGCGCGGAGACGAUCCCACGGACACAACCCAUAAGUCAUAAUAACGCGAGGGUCUUGGUAGGGCUGUCCUCCCAGCUGCCUCCUGGGAGGGGGAUAUUGAGUGCAUGAUGCUGGAGAAGAUCAAAGAGACAUCUACAGCUAAUAAAUCACCAAUAAUGGGUGACUUUGAGUGCCCACAUAUAAGGAGGCCAGCGAUGUUUAGUGAAUCAAUGUCUCGAUACUUUAAAUUAUCCUCGGAACAGUUACU